CGCCGCGGGCUCCUCGCCGCACCCCGGGGCGCGGGUAGCGCCUACGGGAAGGCCCCUCAGCGCCAGGCUCGCCCGCCGGCUCAAGCAACGGCGGCGGAGCGGCCGGAGUAGGUUCCGGGAUCGGCGGGCAGCAGCAAGCUGUAACAUCCGCUCGAGAACUCAUUGUUGCGGAGGGAGACUGCAAGGCCAGCAAAUUCUGCCUCAAGUCACACAAAGUAAUUUUCUGGGCUACCUGCUGAGGAUGAUGAAGAAUGCAUCAGUGUAUGCCUAGGAAACAUCUGUAAACAUUAACAAGAAGAUGAACGAAGUUGCAUUACAAGUUUGAGACUACGUUAUCUUCUGAAUUUAAAACACUGUGGAACCAAUGCACAGUACUGACCCACAGCAGCACAGAAACACACCUGUUUAGAUGAUUCAGAUG